UGAUAUUGACACAAGAAAAAAUAGAUGGUUUCAUGAAGACAAUUCCUGGUUUAUUUUAUACAAGUUUGUGGUGAAAGAUAUAUGGUGAAAUAUGGUAAAAUACAGCCACUCAUACGUUGGGCAGUGCUGACAAGUUGGCAAUACAGUUACUAGGGGAGUUUGUUUUGGUUUCUUUUUGUUAUCUGUUUGCAAUACCCAACACUAAACAUAUGAAGUUGGUUGCAGUAGUUUCAGCUGUGUUGUAUGACAUACCUCUCAAAACAUAACAAAUGGGGAAGCAGAAAAAAGUAUGUUUCAAGAGGACACACCCUGGGAGAGACCAGGGGUGAUCAUACAAACAGAGACGGAAUAAUAUUUGAUAGGCUAAACUGUAUAGAUCAGAAUUGUGCAAACAACAGAAUUAGGAAGGUAUGCACAUGCAGGAAGUGUGAUGUGAAGAAUCUUCAUCAAAAGCCUGGACCAUAUAAUGGAAAUUCACUUGAUUCAAUAUUGCACAGUCAACCUGAAUUGCAGCUGAUGAUCGUGAACUGCUUGUUGACAAAAGGAGAAAAAGAAUUUUCCAAAGUAGAAAGAGGCAUGGGAGGAGAAAAGGAAGCCUGCGUGACACCAUGUACUAAUGAGAAAAAAUAAAACGAGAAAUGCUCAAGGAGAAAGAUAGUCAAAGAGAACAUGAAGGAAGAUGGAAUGAACUUAUAUGUCAAGUAGAACAGAAUAUUUUUCAAGAACCAAGUCCAUCUACCUGGACAUGUGAAAGAGGGGAUAAACCUGAGGAAGAACCUGGCUCAAGGGAAGAAUAUUUUAAAGAAGAAAAAGGUCACAGAGUUUGUGAUGGAUGUUGAAAGAAGAGUAAGACAAAUUUACAGUAAAAGAAACAAGUGGGAUUGCCAAAACAAGGGAAUAUCUGAAUAUGUUGGGAUGAGCAACUACAAUACAGAAGAUCAGUUAACCUUUCUUCAGACUUAGAACAGAUUCCACUACAAAGCCUCACACCUGACAUUUAAACUUGUCUGCAUGAAAGUUCUUAUGGUGCAGAUACCAGCUGGAUCCAAUUCUCAUUCAGCUAAUAGCUGGAAUGUGGAGAAGCUUCAACCAAAUCUCAAAAGCAAACAAAAUAAUCUGAAGGAUAAAGAUACGACGAAAGCAGCAAAUUCCUCUGAAAUCUACUGGGCUGAGGAAUGAUGAAACACAAGACAAAGCUCUUAUCUAUCAGGAAGUUUAAAGCACACCACCUUUUCAUUGCAAGCCAUUGUCCUUAACCCUGGUGAUAAGAAGCUUGAAUUGUUAUUGUGCUGUUAAGUUAGACUUCAACAAUGUGAUGGCAGUAUUACAAGCAAGUUUCUGUUCCAGAUGGGACCUAACUGAACGUAUAAUUGAAACAGUGAGACCACCUGGAUACACAACGUUGUCAACUAUAAAAAGGCAUACACAUACAACAUAUGGUUGCUGGUAUAAGCAGGCCAAGCAACUUUUACAGGCACUUCUUGAGUAGCAAGAAAAAAAAGAUUUUAAAGCUGUAGAUGGGAGUACAAUAAAGGACUGUACUUGCUGAAUGUAAGCUGCGUGUCAACUACAUCUGAAAGCAAGAGUGAAGAGCUGGCAGAUGAGAAAGUUAAACCUGAAGUACAAAGAAAAUUUGACUUAACUGAAAUACAGACCUUAAGGAACGUGCUGCAUGCCUCUUUUGCCAGCAAUGUUGCAUCUUUUCUUGGAAGUGCUAUUCUGAGGUAUGUACUUUGAGGGCUUGAGUUGGGGCAGAGAGUAGAGAAGUUUAGCUCCUAACUGUUUUGGAACCCUGAGGAAAAGCUUGGCAGAAAUGCUGAGUGAAAUGAGAAUGAGUUUGAGAACAAGCUAGAGGCAUGGCAGGAUGGUGCCAGUGAAAGUGAGUUGCAUUGAUAGCAAAACUGCACCUUCAUUUGGUGGCAGUAAUCUUUACCUUCUGUGGAGAUAAAAUACUCUUCAUGCUGUGUGUCAAGAUGCAGAAGCACUGUCUAAUAGAUUACAUCUGAAUGAAUUAUGCCCUGAUAAAUCUUGAGGAG
ensembl:lncRNA